rnacentral:rRNA from 1 species
GACGAACGCUGGCGGCGUGCCUAAUACAUGCAAGUAGAACGCUGAAGGAGGAGCUUGCUUCUCUGGAUGAGUUGCGAACGGGUGAGUAACGCGUAGGUAACCUGCCUGGUAGCGGGGGAUAACUAUUGGAAACGAUAGCUAAUACCGCAUAAGAGUAGAUGUUGCAUGACAUUUGCUUAAAAGGUGCAAUUGCAUCACUACCAGAUGGACCUGCGUUGUAUUAGCUAGUUGGUGGGGUAACGGCUCACCAAGGCGACGAUACAUAGCCGACCUGAGAGGGUGAUCGGCCACACUGGGACUGAGACACGGCCCAGACUCCUACGGGAGGCAGCAGUAGGGAAUCUUCGGAAAUGGACGGAAGUCUGACCGAGCAACGCCGCGUGAGUGAAGAAGGGUGUCGGAUCGUAAAGCUCUGUUGUAAGAGAAGAACGAGUGUGAGAGUGGAAAGUUCACACUGUGACGGUAUCUUACCAGAAAGGGACGGCUAACUACGUG